GUUUAGAAUGUUUUUCCCUAUAAUCUUUGAAGAGCUGCCUCUUUCUCAUAGUUCACAUUCUACUAAACAACCUGCUUUCUCAGUUACCUUCCCUGACCAUCCCAUGUAAAGUAGUGUCUGUCCCCUGCUCUCAUCCCAAGGCAGUUCCUAUCACAUCCUAUUUUGUUAUUUUUCUAUAAUAUUUAUCACUACACAAAAUUACUUUAUUUCAGUGUUUUGUGUCUGUUUUAUCCCUCUCUCCCACCAGAAAAUGAGCUUCUAGAGUUUGGUUCUUUGUCUCUCUUGUUCUUCACAAUAUUCUUAGUGCCUAGAGCAAAGCCUGAUGCCUCACAAGUGCUCUAUAAAUGUUUGCUGACUGCCUGCCUGAUUCAACCAACAAAUGUAAUUGAAUAUCCACUGUCCACACAUCCUCAAAACAGACCCUUAACUUUUACUGUUAAGAGUGACCUAAGGACUAGAGAAAUCCACCUAAGUGAUUACCAAGGGGCUAAUGUCCAGUUCGUUUCUAAUGUUCAUUAUUAUCCACUUAAUUCACUGGAUCAACUGUUGUUUUUUUUUUCAUGCCUAGAAAAAUUUUUGGUUUGUUUUUGUAUUUACGCAUGGAGGAACUGAAGCUUGGCGAGAACAAGAGUGAAUUUUGGCCCAAGGUCACACAGAUGGAUGGGAGAAGAGAGAAAACAGAAAAGACAAUAGAAAAAGAAAAAAUGGGACAAGGUAUAUUUAUUAUACAAGUUCUCUCAUCCCUUACUUUCUUCUCUCCAUUUAUUUUUGAUACCACAAUCAUGAAUUUUCCUAUCCAAAUGGACUUCCAUAAUACUCUUUGAGGAAUGGCCUAAGAAUGCUACCUUCAAGCAGCCUGAUGACCACCGAACUUAGAAAUAUUUGGAGAAGUUGCAACAAAUUUUAUUUUGUCAAAGCUUACAUGAUUUCUCUUUGUGACAUUUUCUUCCCCGACAACCUAAAUGAAAUUGUAUAUUUCAAAGCUUUCAAGACAAAAUAAAAGUUUGAAAAUCCCUUGCAAGUUAGUACUGGUAAAUUCAUAGUUAUUUUAACUCUAUAAAGAAGUAAACAUCAUCACAUUCCUCAUGAAAAACUCCAGCAAGAGCCACUGGCACGGUUUGAAUAUAAACAACCAGCACUAAAUGACUUCAUCAAGCUACAAUCCCUGUGCUCAGCGAUUUAGAGGAAAUCAGCAGCUUAACCAAGGUUUAUUUUGUUUUUUUUUUUUUUCUUUUGCUGAGCAAUUGGGGGCCAAAAAUAAAACACUAUUACAUCAAACUGCAGACAAAUAAAAAUCUGAAUACAUUUGCUGUCUUCUCAGG
rnacentral:lncRNA from 1 species